AGAGUUUGAUCAUGGCUCAGGACGAACGCUGGCGGCGUGCUUAACACAUGCAAGUCGAACGAUGAAGCCCUUCGGGGUGGAUUAGUGGCGAACGGGUGAGGAACACGUGAAGAAUCUGCCCUCCACUUUGGGAUAACUCCGGGAAACCGGGGCUAAUACCGAAUAUUGAAACAUAAGUGGCAUCACUGAGUUUUGAAAGAAUUUCGGUGGGGGAUGACUUCGCGGCCUAUCAGCUUGUUGGUGAGGUAAUGGCUCACCAAGGCGACGACGGGUAGCCGGCCUGAGAGGGCGACCGGCCACACUGGGACUGAGACACGGCCCAGACUCCUACGGGAGGCAGCAGUGGGGAAUAUUGGGCAAUGGACGCAAGUCUGACCCAGCGACGCCGCGUGCGGGAUGAAGGCCUUCGGGUUGUAAACCGCUUUCAGCAGGGAAGAAGCGAAAGUGACGGUACCUGCAAAAGAAGCACCGGCUAACUAUGUGCCAGCAGCCGCGGUAAUACAUAGGGUGCAAGCGUUGUCCGGAAUUAUUGGGCGUAAAGAGCUCGUAGGUGGUUAGUUACGUCGGGUGUGAAAAUCUGGGGCUCAACCCCAGACCUGCACUCGAUACGGGCUAGCUAGAGUUUGGUAGGGGAGACUGGAAUUCCUGGUGUAGCGGUGGAAUGCGCAGAUAUCAGGAGGAACACCAAUGGCGAAGGCAGGUCUCUGGGCCAAUACUGACACUGAGGAGCGAAAGCGCGGGGAGCGAACAGGAUUAGAUACCCUGGUAGUCCACGCCCUAAACG
rnacentral:rRNA from 1 species